rnacentral:rRNA from 1 species
GCUCAACCGAGGAAGUGCUUCGAAAACUGGUAAACUUGAGUGCAGAAGAGGAAAGUGGAACUCCAUGUGUAGCGGUGGAAUGCGUAGAUAUAUGGAAGAACACCAGUGGCGAAGGCGGCUUUCUGGUCUGUAACUGACGCUGAGAUUCGAAAGCAUGUGUAGCAAACAGGAUUAGAUACCCUGGUAGUCCAUGCCGUAAACGAUGAGUGCUAAGUGUUGGAGGGUUUCCGCCCUUCAGUGCUGCAGCUAACGCAUUAAGCACUCCGCCUGGGGAGUACGAUCGCAAGAUUGAAACUCAAAGGAAUUGACGGGGGCCCGCACAAGCGGUGGAGCAUGUGGUUUAAUUCGAAGCAACGCGAAGAACCUUACCAGGUCUUGACAUACCAUGAAAAGCUAAGAGAUUAGUCUUUCCCUUCGGGGACAUGGAUACAGGUGGUGCAUGGUUGUCGUCAGCUCGUGUCGUGAGAUGUUGGGUUAAGUCCCGCAACGAGCGCAACCCUUAUUAUCAGUUGCCAGCAUUCAGUUGGGCACUCUGGUGAGACUGCCGGUGACAAACCGGAGGAAGGUGGGGACGACGUCAAAUCAUCAUGCCCCUUAUGACCUGGGCUACACACGUGCUACAAUGGUCGGUACAACG